AGAGUUUGAUCCUGGCUCAGGAUGAACGCUAGCGGCAGGCCUAACACAUGCAAGUCGAACGGUAACAUGUCCUUCGGGAUGAUGACGAGUGGCGCACGGGUGCGUAACGCGUAUGCAAUCUACCCCUGUCUGGAGAAUAGCCCGGAGAAAUCCGGAUUAAUACUCCAUAAUAUCUCAACUUCGCAUGUUGAUGAGAUUAAAACUCCGGUGGACAGGGAUGAGCAUGCGUCCUAUUAGCUUGUUGGUAGUGUAAUAGACUACCAAGGCUACGAUAGGUAGGGGGCCUGAGAGGGUGGUCCCCCACACUGGUACUGAGACACGGACCAGACUCCUACGGGAGGCAGCAGUGGGGAAUAUUGCACAAUGGGCGCAAGCCUGAUGCAGCGACGCCGCGUGAGGGAUGACGGCCUUCGGGUUGUAAACCUCUUUCAGUAGGGAAGAAGCGAAAGUGACGGUACCUGCAGAAGAAGCACCGGCUAACUACGUGCCAGCAGCCGCGGUAAUACGUAGGGUGCGAGCGUUGUCCGGAAUUACUGGGCGUAAAGGGCUCGUAGGUGGUUGAUCGCGUCGGAAGUGUAAUCUUGGGGCUUAACCCUGAGCGUGCUUUCGAUACGGGUUGACUUGAGGAAGGUAGGGGAGAAUGGAAUUCCUGGUGGAGCGGUGGAAUGCGCAGAUAUCAGGAGGAACACCGAUGGCGAAGGCAGGUCUCUGGGCUGUAACUGACGCUGAGGAGCGAAAGCAUGGGGAGCGAACAGGAUUAGAUACCCUGGUAGUCCACGCCGUAAACGAUGUCGACUAGCCGUUGGGAUCCUUGAGAUCUUAGUGGCGCAGCUAACGCAUUAAGUUGACCGCCUGGGGAGUACGGCCGCAAGGCUAAAACUCAAAGGAAUUGACGGGGGCCCGCACAAGCGGUGGAGCAUGUGGUUUAAUUCGA
rnacentral:rRNA from 1 species